rnacentral:rRNA from 1 species
AACCUGAAACCGUGUGCUUACAAGUAGUCAGAGCCCGUUAAUGGGUGAUGGCGUGCCUUUUGUAGAAUGAACCGGCGAGUUACGAUUUGAUGCAAGGUUAAGCAGUAAAUGUGGAGCCGUAGCGAAAGCGAGUCUGAAUAGGGCGUUUAGUAUUUGGUCGUAGACCCGAAACCAGGUGAUCUACCCUUGGUCAGGUUGAAGUUCAGGUAACACUGAAUGGAGGACCGAACCGACUUACGUUGAAAAGUGAGCGGAUGAACUGAGGGUAGCGGAGAAAUUCCAAUCGAACCUGGAGAUAGCUGGUUCUCUCCGAAAUAGCUUUAGGGCUAGCCUCAAGUGAUGAUUAUUGGAGGUAGAGCACUGUUUGGACGAGGGGCCCCUCUCGGGUUACCGAAUUCAGACAAACUCCGAAUGCCAAUUAAUUUAACUUGGGAGUCAGAACAUGGGUGAUAAGGUCCGUGUUCGAAAGGGAAACAGCCCAGACCACCAGCUAAGGUCCCAAAAUAUAUGUUAAGUGGAAAAGGAUGUGGCGUUGCCCAGACAACUAGGAUGUUGGCUUAGAAGCAGCCAUCAUUUAAAGAGUGCGUAAUAGCUCACUAGUCGAGUGACACUGCGCCGAAAAUGUACCGGGGCUAAACAUAUUACCGAAGCUGUGGAUUGUCCUUUGGACAAUGGUAGGAGAGCGUUCUAAGGGCGUUGAAGCAUGAUCGUAAGGACAUGUGGAGCGCUUAGAAGUGAGAAUGCCGGUGUGAGUAGCGAAAGACGGGUGAGAAUCCCGUCCACCGAUUGACUAAGGUUUCCAGAGGAAGGCUCGUCCGCUCUGGGUUAGUCGGGUCCUAAGCUGAGGCCGACAGGCGUAGGCGAUGGAUAACAGGUUGAUAUUCCUGUACCACCUAUAAUCGUUUUAAUCGAUGGGGGGACGCAGUAGGAUAGGCGAAGCGUGCGAUUGGAUUGCACGUCUAAGCAGUAAGGCUGAGUAUUAGGCAAAUCCGGUACUCGUUAAGGCUGA